GUUGGUCUGGUUGGUCUUGUUGAUCUUUCUUGAAAGCAACACACAUCCAUCGGUUAAUACACGCGUUCACCCUCAACGCACACACAACCGAAUCAUAAGAUGCUUGAAUCAGACUAGAUGAUUCGCUAUGUUUGUUGUGUAUUGAUGUGUGAUUUUUGCAAUUAAUUUUUAUGACCAAGUUUUUUUUUUUUUUUUUUUUUUUUU
rnacentral:lncRNA from 1 species